GGCGGGCAGAGGGACGGCGGCAGAACCUGCGGGCUAGGUGGGUGACUCACUUGCAAGGAGGAAAGGAAGCGAAGACUGCUGCUGCCGGGGAGCGAGGAGAUGCUUGGAGCCCAGAGGUCAGGCCGCUGCCACCUCCUUCUGCAGCGGAGAUGGCGAAGCCAGCGGGCGCAUGGUCCGCAACAGCGACCUUGCGCGCAGGUGGCAGUGUAGAAGCCAAAACGGAGCUUGUAGAAGUGGUUUCUGAAAAAUGAGUGAAUGUACAUGAGUAAGCAAGCAUAGGAAUCUGAAAAACCACAGUCAACAUACAGAACAUUUCCAGCGCCCCAGAAGAUUUCUUCCUCUUUCCCCUUCUGGUCAGUUUUCAUCCUAUUUUCAACCUAAAGGCUGUGGAUGAAAUUGUGAAUGGAAUUAACUUCAUACUAGAAUUACCUGAAAACUCCACAAACUGGAAUGAAAUGCAGAUAACUCUUUAGACAACUUUUGUAGGAAAAGUGUCUCAUGUGAUCUGGAACAAACACAUUUUAUAAUCAGAUUUAUCAAGCUGUGAAGAGAGAGUUUAAGUGAAUGGAAGCAUCAGCAUUCUGUCACCAGGAAAUACUGCUUUAUCCAGAAUUGAACAGUGUCCCGUGAGAUAGGAAGUGACAACCUGAUAUUGCAGAAGAAAUCAAGAUAAGAGAGUGAUUUUAGAGGCUGCCCGCACUCUGGCUCAUGGCUACUUCCUCUAUCUUCAAAGCCAGCAACAGUAGGUUGAGUACUUCUCACAUCAAAUCACUCUGAUACUAACUUUUCUGCCUCCUUCUUGUAAGGAUCCCUAUGAUAACAUUUGACCCACCUAGAUGAUCCAGGAUAAUCUCCCCAUCUCAAAAUCUUCAAUUUAAUCACAUCUGCAAAGCCCCUUUUGCUAUGUAAGGUAACAUUCAUAGGUUCCCAGAAUUGGGAUAAGGACAUCUUUGGGUGCAAUUAUUCUGCCUACCACGUUAGCCACACUGCAACUUUCAAUGAGCUCUAGUUCAGCAAGUAAACAUUAUGAUUUCUUUUAAAGAACCAAGUUUAUGGCACCCCCUGGGGGCUCCUAAGUUACCUUCGCCUACUGUUACUUUUCCUUGUGUAGGGCCAAUCUUCUUUUAUAGAUGAGAAAACGAAAGCUCAAAGAACUAAAUGAUUAUCUUCAACAACCCUCCAGUGUGAACAAGUCAGGCAUAAAUCUCGAGCAUGGACUUUUGAUGUUCUACCAGCAUGUUUCUCACCUUUCUUCAGUGCCUCCUCUCUAGGAAGUGUGUCCUAAAGAGAUGUAAGGGUGAAGGCACCAUAUCAGGUAGAGGUGGGCAUGGUGAGGGUUGAGGUUAGAUAA